AAUGCUUGGGAACAUGCCUUGAGGUGGGGGAUAACCGUUGGAAACGACGGCUAAUACCGCAUAAUGUCUACGGACCAAAGGGGGCUUCGGCUCUCGCCUUUAGAUUGGCCCAAGUGGGAUUAGCUAGUUGGUGAGGUAAUGGCUCACCAAGGCGACGAUCCCUAGCUGGUUUGAGAGGAUGAUCAGCCACACUGGGACUGAGACACGGCCCAGACUCCUACGGGAGGCAGCAGUGGGGAAUAUUGCACAAUGGGCGCAAGCCUGAUGCAGCCAUGCCGCGUGUGUGAAGAAGGCCUUCGGGUUGUAAAGCACUUUCAGCAAGGAGGAAAGGGUGUAAGUUAAUACCUUACAUCUGUGACGUUACUUGCAGAAGAAGCACCGGCUAACUCCGUGCCAGCAGCCGCGGUAAUACGGAGGGUGCGAGCGUUAAUCGGAAUUACUGGGCGUAAAGCGUAC
rnacentral:rRNA from 1 species